rnacentral:pre_miRNA from 1 species
GCAGGGCCUGUCAAACUGCCCCUGUUCGAUAGGGGGCCUGUCUAACUUUGGCAGUUAGACAAGCCCCCCUGUCGAACCGCCAAAGUUAGACAGGCCU